rnacentral:rRNA from 1 species
GACGAACGCUGGCGGCGUGCCUAAUACAUGCAAGUCGAGCGGACGAAUCGAAAGCUUGCUUUUGAUUCGUUAGCGGCGGACGGGUGAGUAACACGUGGGCAACCUGCCCUGUAGACGGGGAUAACACCGAGAAAUCGGUGCUAAUACCGGAUAACACGAAAUGUCGCAUGACGUUUCGUUGAAAGACGGCGCAAGCUGUCGCUACAGGAUGGGCCCGCGGCGCAUUAGCUAGUUGGUGAGGUAACGGCUCACCAAGGCGACGAUGCGUAGCCGACCUGAGAGGGUGAUCGGCCACACUGGGACUGAGACACGGCCCAGACUCCUACGGGAGGCAGCAGUAGGGAAUCUUCCGCAAUGGACGAAAGUCUGACGGAGCAACGCCGCGUGAGCGAAGAAGGCCUUCGGGUCGUAAAGCUCUGUUGUUAGGGAAGAACAAGUAACGCAGUAACUGGCGUUAUCGUGACGGUACCUAACGAGAAAGCCACGGCUAACUACGUG